rnacentral:lncRNA from 1 species
AAAUCAUAGAGACAGAACGCAGGUUGGUGGUUUCAAGGGACUGUAGGAGAGAAUGAGAAGAAGCUGCUUAGUGGGGAAGUUUGUGCAUCACGCAAAACUGGAACACACUCACUAGAAAGCCUGAAACUCUGUUGAUACUUACACCAAGGACAUCCAUCUUCCCCCGCCCCAUUUCCCCGCUAUCUACAGCCCCUUGAUAGCCUCAAGUCUCCACUAUGGUCUUUAAAGCAAUUCUCCUGGGUCGGGGAGCCUAUCUGAAUUUCCACCUCAAUCAAGAGUGACCUCCUGUAAGGAAUACAGGCUCACUCUGAAGAGUCAUGGAUCUCCAGCCUCAAAAAUGACAACUACAGUCCUGAUUGACCGUUGAUUCUCAAAGACGAGAUGUUAAGAUUAAAUAUUUUGGAGCAUGUCAGAGGAAAUC